CACCUUGUGCCCUGACCUCAUAACUCCUGUGCACUCGAGCUCACAGUUUGUAGUGGUGCUAACUCUCAGCCCGUCCCUUCAGAACUUGGCGCAGCUGAGGUGACACCGCCACCCUCCUUGUUCAUGGAGCUUACUGUCACUUAGCUUCUGCUGUAACAGCCAAUGCCAGUAACUCAAGAACUGAAAGAUAUUUUUAAGGCAAAGAUACUCCUCCAACACUCAAAGGCAGCAAAGAUCACAGACAAGGUAGAAACAGAUCCUUCAGAUGGACCAUGUAUAAAGACAGCAUGUGUCAGUAACUUAUAGAGCAUGUACACCACAGAGUCAAAAAAUGAACAUUUGGAGGAUAAAAAUGUCGAAUCAUCUACAACUCCUCAGAUCCUCAAAGAUAGUAAUGCUAGUGAACAUGAAGAAACUAAGCAAACUGUCUUUCCAAAAACAGAGGAAACAAAACCACAGAUGGAAAAGAAGAGUUCUUGUCCUCCACAAGGAACAUUGAAUAAAAUUAUUACAAAUGAUUUCUAGAUGGUAUAUACCAUUGGUUCACUGCUCAGGAAAGAGUGCUCCUUCUCCACAUUCAUCCCUUGGGAUGGAGUCUGCCAGACCUUUGAAACUUAGAUGAAGGACACUCCAAAUCUGAAAUUCU